GUGCUCGCUUUGGCAGCACAUAUGCUAAAAUUGGAAUGAUACAGAGAAGAUUAGCAUGCCCCCUGCGCAAGGAUGACACGCAAAUUCCUGAAGCGUUGCAUAUUUUU
rnacentral:snRNA from 1 species